UCAAACUGAUGGACACCACCUUAAAUGGACAGAGAUUUAGUUCUUUACCUGUGCUGCUUGUUGUAGUUUUUUUAAAAAAAUCCUUGUAAAAUUAGCUGUUCAUUUCUUUUCUCUUUAUUUUCUGUCACUCUGAACACUUUUUCUUCCAUUUCCUACAACCAAAUCAAGGACUGUUUACUUUCUUCUCUUUUUAAAUAUCUUUUUUUAAAGUGAGAGAUUGUGAUUUCUCUUUUAUUUCCUCUUUUUUUUCUUUUGAAAGAAAGUGCUUUGAUAUUAUCUGGAACUAUGCAUAACCGAACAAAAGACAGGUUAGCAGUGCACCUUACAAUGGAAGGAAGAAUGGGAACUCUCAUCCCUCUCCAGACAAAGUGCAGGGGUAAAUCGGACUGUGAGCAUAUGAUCAUGUAAGUUUGAAGUACAACCCAUUAAAUUCAUUGAAACUUGCUUCUAAGUAAGCAUACCUAGGACUGGAAUAUUAAUCAAUAACUGGGAAUUGUAAAAAAAUAUACUUAAGGUUUUCGUAACUGUUGUAUUCUCUUGUCCUCCUCUGGUAAAUGGAAGUAAUUAUUUCUUUCUCACAGUGAUUUUUGUAAGAUGCAUUUGAACUCAUUUUCCAUACACUUUUUGUCCAUUUCUUUUAUUCAUUGCUUUGUAGCAAACCAAUUUAAUGAUUACAAAUCAAUAUAAAUUACACCCUUAGACGGAAGCAUCUAUUCAAUAUCUGAGAAUGAUUGUUAAAUAAAAUUUUCUACAAUUAAGUCAACAUGCUGUGAAAUAAAACCAAAUCAUGUUACCACAAAGGUUAGAAAGGAUGAUUUGCUCUCUCUGAAAUAGAGAUCAUUUGAUCUCAUUGAAUAGCACUUACAUCCACAAUGAAUGACAUUCCCCUUUCUAUGAUAUCUUUUUGAAUAUCUCUUGUUCAUACUUUUUUCUUUUAUUAAGAUCACUGAGUUGAUAGACCCAUUUUCUUCUGUAUUUCCAUAGGAACAUUCAACGGUAAUUCUAUCUGUCGUGUUCUUUGGGCACAUCCACUUCUCCCACCCUGUGUCCCAGAUAUAAAAAGCUAUCUGCCAAACAGUGACAGUAGUUUAACCAUAUAGCAGAAACGAUGGAGAAAUUACCUGCCAUUGGCUUAUUUUGUUCCAUUUAUACCCCAUACCUGUGACCAGGAGAUUUUAGUACUUUUGUCCAAUAUUGUGCUAUUUAACAAGAGUAGCCAGCGAUCCUCACUGUUCUGUGGUGACUCACAUAGGCAUUGUGCAUAUGAACCUACAUGUAGUAUUUUGCCAGCUUAUUAAAAGGCAGUGGCAUCAGCAGGGAUCUCACUUUGGACCCGUUAGGCAUCUGACAUCCCCAUAGAUUUAUGACUGAAAAUAACAUUUUAGUGUGGAAACAUCAACUAUUUGAAUUUACCCUGAGAAACGAUCUGAGAUAGGAUUAGAAAGCAAGCCUUUACGUUUUCCUUGGGGCUUGUUUAUAGCAAGUGUUAUCUAAUUCCUUGCCUACAGAUGUUCAUCCAUUCCAAUAUAUUGGUGAUCUCUAGCUGUGAGAAUAGAUGAGCUUCCAGAGACAAAUGUUUCAAGGUUGCCCAGGAGUUGCCUAAUGCCUUUCACUGUCAGAAUGGCAUGUGGACUUUACUUGCUUAAGAAUUUCUUCACCGCUGUUAAGAGUUCACACUAAAGGGAUAAAUCUGCACAGAGUAACUAAAAAACCAGUGGUGAAAUAGUUUGCAAUAUAUGUAAAAAAAUCUAACCCAAGUAGUUUACAGAACAAAGAGCUUCUCAAAAGGCUGUGUGUACAAAGAUCAUUUUAAAAAUUAUUUCCCUCCAGCUGUAAUUUGAAAUACAGUUUUUACCUUUGUAUACUGUCUUUUGGUCUCAUGACAUGUUUUGUUUUUCACAGUGCUCCAAGCAAAUAAAGAAUAUUCCAUGAGUUCUAUUGUCCUUCAUUCCACCGGAGUCUGUCUCAUAACUAAUCAGAUUUCAGUGGAAUGAAGCACAAGAGACAUGGAGUUGAAUCCACUAAGACUUCAGUUUGACUCCAGAAAGCAAUAUGCUGUACUAAAGCAGUCAGAAGCAGUCUCUCCCAACAUAUUCUGUGUUGGGAAAUGGUAAUGUAGAAAAAAUGAGUAACAAGCAUUUUAGUGGCAUAUGUGUACUUUGAUAUGUUUGGAAGAAAACUUUUGAAAAUCUAUUUAUGACUUAUUUCCAGUGGGUUUUUUUCUCUCUCUCUCUUUCAUGUUUUAAAAAGGAAUGAUUUCUUGAGAAUGUAGAAGUCAAUUGUGGAGCUUCUUUCCAAAUCCAUCUGAACAAGUUUUAUAGGAAUUGAAAAAACAUGCUGAGGAAAUGCAUUCCUUAUGAUAAAAUGCAAUUUUCCAAGUCCUGUACCAAAGUGAUUUGCUACAUCGUGAUAACUUUGUUCUGUACAUAAUAUUCUAUUCCUGGCCAACAAUGUGCUACCAUCUAUAAUUCUUUUUUUCUUUUUUUUGGAUUUUUUACCUUUUGGAAACAAACCACAUAAUCAAAUUCUUACAUGUAUUGUAUUAGAAGUGUGAUCUGAUCAGGCCUGCUAUAGUCCUGUUUGCUUUCCAUGCUCAUGUUUUUCCAAGGAUUAUGUGUAAUUAAUUGGAGGCAGGCAAGCUUUGCCUUUAUUUCUGUUGCCUUGUCUCAGGAGAUCUCACAUUUAUGGCAUGUUGAUGUUAUCAUCAUCAUCACCAUUAUCAUCGUCACCAUCAUUAUUAUGUCACUUUUUUCCCCAAUUUAGGACUCAAAGCAGCUUACAACAACGAAAAAGGUAUAUUUAAAAAUCCACAACAAACAAAGGUGAAAACAUGAUUAAUUAAUUAAAAAACCUUGGCUUAAACAUGCAUAAUUAAAACACACACCAGAAUGAUAGUUGCCCGUUUCCAUGAUAUUGUUUAAGAUGGGCCUUAUCAAAUGCCUGUUGGAAUAGCAAAGUCUUUACUUGUCUGAGAAAAAAGUAGGAAUCAUGUCAGUCUAACUUCUCUGGGAAGGGAAUUCCAGGACCAUGAGGCAGCCACUGAGAAGGCCCUCUCCUACAUUCCCACCUGAUCUACUUGUAUGGGUGGUAGGUCAGAAGAAAGGCCCUUUCCAGUAGACCCCAAACCAUUGACCGGUUUGUAAGGAAAAAUGGGGUCUUUCAAAUAAUCUAAGCCAUGCAGGAUUUUAAAUAACCAGCCGUUUGCAUUCUGCUCGGAAAUUGACAUAGGUAGCCAAGUGGAUCUGUUGCAACAAGAGAGCAAUGUCUUCCAUUCAUAUGUGAUGACCAUUUGCAAUAACGGAAACAUAAAUCAUUUCUGCACUGAAAGCUCUUAGGAUUUUAAAGCCAGGACCCAUAAUAUAGCUUUUACAUCACAUGCGUACAUUGUCUGCUUAGAAGCACUAUUGAGUUCAAUGGGGUUUAAUUCUGAUACGUGAGUGUAUAGAAUUGCAAGCAUUAAAGUGUCACUGCAAAAUCUGCAAAGGUUAAUGCAGUUAAAAAUAUUUGACAGGUAAAACUGUUUUAUCUCACUAAUUGUUCAAAAGAUGUUAUGGCCUUUUCAUAGAUUUAACCUCCCUGAGAGCCACAAGCAAAAAAGACAAGGACUGGCAGACUUUUAAAAGUUCCAAAUCAUUGCUUUUCACCGUAGCUAUGAAUUAUCUCCUUGGAUAGAUUUAGUACUGUGUUCCAAAAAUUAUACAGUAUUUUUAUCUCACUUCCUGCCUAUUUUUUAUUUUACAGUGAUUCUGGGGGGGG